rnacentral:sRNA from 1 species
AUCUCCUUUUAAAAGUGUUAUGUUUUCUUUUAAAGUUCCAAAUUAUUAGACAUUUUGAUUUGCAUGCAACUGUUUGAAACAUUCUGUUGUGUUAGUAUUUGACAAAUGUAUUUAUUGCAUGAUCAUAGUUUUCCAUUGUAAACCUAAUAUGAACGCUUUUUUUUCUCAUUUGUCGUGUGCUGUGGAAUUUGAUUUCUUUACUUUUUUGGCAUUCAUUCCCUCAUUAGACACUGAAAGAGUUUUACCAGGUAAGGCAUUAUUUCACUGCAUUUUCUUUUAGCCAAGAAGUAGUUGUAACUUUUAAAAAAUUUCAUUUGAUAGAUUAUUUUGUUUGUUUUGUCUUCGUUACUAUAUUUUAAGGCACGUUGUUUGAAAGAAUGUGUGUUAAAAUGAUUUACAUAUAAUUUUUUACAGGAAGUGCAGAGCUGUACUGUUGACUUAGGUAUUACAGCAGACAGCUCCAACCACCCAGACAACAAGCACAAGAAUCGAUACAUAAAUAUCGUUGCCUAUGAUCAUAGCAGGGUUAAGCUAGCACAGCUUG